UACAGAUGAAGAAAAUAGAGGACAGAGCAAGGAGACACAUGUGGCAUCUGACAAAAGGAAAAACGGGAUCGUGAAGAAAUCCUACGAACUCUCCUUCUGUUUUCCCCCGCUGGUAAACUCUUCCUUUUUCAUGGCAAGAAUAGUCUGCAUAACAAAGAGUUGGAACAACGGUUGGUCGCUGAAAUGCGAUUGGAAUCUAUGCACUGUGAGCUGAUUUCCAGGUUGUUAUUAAAAGAGAGAAUGGAAUCGCACACUUUAUUAUCCACUGAUUGUACACUUAUAUAGAUACAUAGAGAAUAACUAAUGGAGAGAUUUACGUAACAAUAUAUGCUAUAUGUAUGGCA